AGCUGCGUGGUGAGCACAGAGCGAAUUAUUCUUUCGCCUUUUACUAAAGAAUACCGUGUGCUCGUCACUUUAAGCAGCAUACGCCACUUUUUGGAGGGUACUUUUUAAAAAAGUCCC